rnacentral:rRNA from 1 species
ACUACGGGGGGCACCAGGGGGGAAUAUUGCACAAUGGGCGCAAGCCUGAUCCAGCCAUGCCGCGUGAGUGAAGAAGGCCUUAGGGUUGUAAAGCUCUUUCACCGGUGAAGAUAAUGACGGUAACCGGAGAAGAAGCCCCGGCUAACUUCGUGCCAGCAGCCGCGGUAAUACGAAGGGGGCUAGCGUUGUUCGGAAUUACUGGGCGUAAAGCGCGCGUAGGCGGAUAGAUAAGUCAGAGGUGAAGUCCCGGGGCUCAACCCCGGAAUUGCCUUUGAUACUGUUUAUCUUGAGUGCAGAAGAGGUAAGUGGAAUGCCGAGUGUAGAGGUGAAAUUCGUAGAUAUUCGGAGGAACACCAGUGGCGAAGGCGGCUUACUGGUCUGCAACUGACGCUGAGGCGCGAAAGCGUGGGGAGCAAACAGGAUUAGAUACCCCAGUAGUC